CUCAUCGCUACACCAUACUCUCUCCUCCCCUCACCAUCACCACCACCACCAUCGUGACUCGCAGAUAUUGAAUGUUAAGCAGCGUCGUCAAAGAUAAACAGGUGAUGGAACUCGAAGUGACAAAGGUAACGUUUGCAACAUAUUAAGAGACAAGACAGUGAUCCAGGGAGGUAAACUACUUAAUUGCACCGAAUAGUUACCAUUCUUGGACCAGUUGUUUGGACUUGACAGUAACUAUUUUUUGAAAAAGUUGUGUUAGCGACCUAGGAAACUGUUGUUCAAAGUUCAGACUGACUUGUGUCUUAGAGUGUAAAUGUAACGUGAAGGACUUAUCUUCAAGAAUGUCAGCAGUGAACUUGGCACACUUCUGGCACUACAGCGUAACGUGAAGAGCUCUAGAGCUCUCUAAUGGUGAAGGCGGCGGCAGCGAGACUGGCACACUGUUGGCACUACAGUAGUCUGGUUCUACUCUAAUGUCCUUUCUGUGUUCUAUAAUACAAAACAAAUAAAUAAAA